CACGUGUAGCAGUGAAAUGCGUAGAGAUGUGGAGGAAUACCGAUGGCGAAGGCAGCCUCCUGGGAUAACACUGACGUUCAUGCCCGAAAGCGUGGGUAGCAAACAGGAUUAGAUACCCUGGUAGUCCACGCCCUAAACGAUGUCGAUUAGCUGUUGGGCAGCAUGACUGCUUAGUAGCGAAGCUAACGCGUGAAAUCGACCGCCUGGGGAGUACGGUCGCAAGAUUAAAACUCAAAGGAAUUGACGGGGACCCGCACAAGCGGUGGAUGAUGUGGAUUAAUUCGAUGCAACGCGAAGAACCUUACCUGGUCUUGACAUGUACGGAACCCUCCAGAGACGGAGGGGUGCCUUCGGGAGCCGUAACACAGGUGCUGCAUGGCUGUCGUCAGCUCGUGUCGUGAGAUGUUGGGUUAAGUCCCGCAACGAGCGCAACCCUUGUCAUUAGUUGCCAUCAUUAAGUUGGGCACUCUAAUGAGACUGCCGGUGACAAGCCGGAGGAAGGUGGGGAUGACGUCAAGUCCUCAUGGCCCUUAUGACCAGGGCUUCACACGUCAUACAAUGGUCGGUACAGAGGGUAGCCAAGCCGCGAGGUGGAGCCAAUCUCACAAAACCGAUCGUAGUCCGGAUUGCACUCUGCAACUCGAGUGCAUGAAGUCGGAAUCGCUAGUAAUCGCAGGUCAGCAUACUGCGGUGAAUACGUUCCCGGGUCUUGUACACACCGCCCGUCACACCAUGGGAGUGGGGGAUACCAGAAGUAGGUAGGGUAACCGCAAGGAGCCCGCUUACCACGGU
rnacentral:rRNA from 1 species